rnacentral:rRNA from 1 species
ACCAGACUCCUACGGGAGGCAGCAGUGGGGGAUAUUGCACAAUGGGGGAAACCCUGAUGCAGCGACGCCGCGUGGGUGAAGAAGCGCCUCGGCGCGUAAAGCCCUGUCAGCAGGGAAGAAAAUGACGGUACCUGGGGAGGAAGCUCCGGCUAACUACGUGCCAGCAGCCGCGGUAAUACGUAGGGAGCGAGCGUUGUCCGGAAUUACUGGGUGUAAAGGGAGCGUAGGCGGGGAUGCAAGUUGGGUGUCAAAACUACCGGCUCAACUGGUAGUCGCACUCAAAACUGCAGCUCUUGAGUGAAGUAGAGGCAGGCGGAAUUCCUAGUGUAGCGGUGAAAUGCGUAGAUAUCAGGAGGAACACCGGCGGCGAAGGCGGCCUGCUGGACUGAAACUGACGUUGAGGCUCGAAAGCGUGGGGAGCAAACAGGAUUAGAUAC